UAGGGAAUCUUCCGCAAUGGACGAAAGUCUGACGGAGCAACGCCGCGUGAGUGAAGAAGGAUUUCGGUUCGUAAAACUCUGUUGUUAGGGAAGAAAAAAUGUAUAGUAACUAUAUACAAAAGAGACGGUACCUAACCAGAAAGCCACGGCUAACUACGGGCCAGCAGCCGCGGUAAUACGGAGGGGGCAAGCGAUGUACGGAAUUAUUGGGCGUAAAGCGCGCGCAGGUGGUUUAGAAAGUCUGAUGUGAAAGCCCACGGCUCAACCGUGGAGGGUAAUUAGAAACUAAUAAACUUGAGUGCAGGAGAGAAAAGUGGAAUUCCUAGUGUAGCGGUGAAAUGCGUAGAGAUUAGGAGGAACACCGGUGGCGAAAGCGGCUUUUUGGCCUGCAACUGACACUGAGGCGCGAAAGCGUGGGGAGCAAACAGG
rnacentral:rRNA from 1 species